UACGUAGGGGGCAAGCGUUAUCCGGAUUUACUGGGUGUAAAGGGAGCGUAGACGGCUUUGCAAGCCAGAUGUGAAAGCCCGGGGCUCAACCUCGGGACUGCAUUUGGAACUGUAUGGCUGGAGUGUCGGAGAGGCAGGCGGAAUUCCUAGUGUAGCGGUGAAAUGCGUAGAUAUUAGGAGGAACACUAGUGGCGAAGGCGGCCUGCUGGACGAUGACUGACGUUGAGGCUCGAAAGCGUGGGGAGCAAACAGG
rnacentral:rRNA from 1 species